GAACGCUGGCGGCGUGCCUAACACAUGCAAGUCGAGCGGACCAGAAAUGGAGAUAACUUUAUUUCUGGUUAGCGGCGAACGGGUGAGUAACACGUGGGUAACCUGCCCUCAGGAGGAGGAUAACUCGGGGAAACCUGAGCUAAUACUCCAUAAGACCACGAGCUGAAAUGCUUGUGGUAAAAGAAGCAAUUCACCUGAGGAUGGGCCCGCGGCCUAUCAGGUAGUUGGUAGGGUAAUGGCCUACCAAGCCUAUGACGGGUAGCCGAGCUGAGAGGCUGGCCGGCCACACUGGGACUGAGACACGGCCCAGACUCCUACGGGAGGCAGCAGUGGGGAAUAUUGGGCAAUGGGCGAAAGCCUGACCCAGCGACGCCGCGUGGGGGAAGAAGGCCUUCGGGUUGUAAACCCCUUUUGCAGGGGACGACACAGGACGGUACCCUGCGAAUAAGCCACGGCUAACUCUGUGCCAGCAGCCGCGGUAAGACAGAGGUGGCAAGCGUUGCUCGGAUUCACUGGGCUUAAAGGGCGCGUAGGUGGUUUUGUAAGUCUAAGGUGGAAUUCCACAGCUUAACUGUGGGACUGCCUUUGAUACUGCAAGGCUUGAGUCAGGCAG
rnacentral:rRNA from 1 species